rnacentral:rRNA from 1 species
CAGUCGAGCGGAUGAGUGGAGCUUGCUCCAUGAUUCAGCGGCGGACGGGUGAGUAAUGCCUAGGAAUCUGCCUGRUAGUGGGGGACAACGUUUCGAAAGGAACGCUAAUACCGCAUACGUCCUACGGGAGAAAGCAGGGGACCUUCGGGCCUUGCGCUAUCAGAUGAGCCUAGGUCGGAUUAGCUGGUUGGUGAGGUAAUGGCUCACCAAGGCGACGAUCCGUAACUGGUCUGAGAGGAUGAUCAGUCACACUGGAACUGAGACACGGUCCAGACUCCUACGGGAGGCAGCAGUGGGGAAUAUUGGACAAUGGGCGAAAGCCUGAUCCAGCCAUGCCGCGUGUGUGAAGAAGGUCUUCGGAUUGUAAAGCACUUUAAGUUGGGAGGAAGGGCAGUAAGCUAAUACCUUGCUGUUUUGACGUUACCGACAGAAUAAGCACCGGCUAACUUCGUGCCAGCAGCCGCGGUAAUACA